rnacentral:rRNA from 1 species
CCUACGGGCGGCAGCAGUAGGGAAUUUUGCGCAAUGGGCGAAAGCCUGACGCAGCAACACCGCGUGAAUGUUAAGCCCUUCGGGGUGUAAAGUUCUGUCAAUAGGGACGAAUUUUGACUGUACCUAUAAAGGAAGCACCGGCUAACUCCGUGCCAGCAGCCGCGGGAAUACGGGGGGUGCAAGCAUUGUCCGGAAUCAUUGGGCGUAAAGCGUUCGUAGGCGGCAAGGUAAGUCCGAUGGUAAAGCCCGGGGCUCAACUCCGGUUCGGCAUUUGAUACUAUUUAGCUAGAGUGUGCGAGAGGUAAAGGGAAUGCCUGGUGUAGCGGUGAAAUGCGUAGAUAUCAGGAGGAACAUCGGUGGCGAAAGCGCUGUACUGGACCAUUAUUGACGCUGAGGAACGAAAGCCAGGGGAGCAAAUGGGAUUAGAUACCCUUGUAGUC